UCCAAGCUGAAGGACAGGCAUGGACAAAGUCCAAGACAUGGAUGCGAAGGAAUACUUUGGAUUCGAGGAAUAUGUCGAUGACCAGCAUUCCAUAUCUUACUACUUUUACAGCUCGGAGUUUGCAGAGUCUUCUUAUUAUGAAAAUAUAGGCCGUUCAUCCAUUAGCGGAGAUAUUUCACUCUUCUUGGCCCGGCUUCCAAUGGUCGUGCUGUGACUGUAAAUGCCUCCAGGUUAUUAGCAUAUAUAACCCUACGGCAGCCACAGAAACCAGGAAAACUCAAAGGGUCGUGAACCCGACCAAUGGGAAGACAUUUUUUUUCAUCUUCACUAUGGAUAUGAUAAGAAUAAAAUA